rnacentral:ncRNA from 1 species
GCUCGGAGACGCCGAUGCGAGCCUCGGGAAGAGUUUUCUUUUUUCUGUAAGGAGAUCGAGUCCCUGGAAUGGGUUCGCCCCGAGAUAGGGAUGGUGGCUCCGUAGAGCAGUGCGGUUCUUGCGCUGUCCGGUGCGCUCGCGUCGGCCCUUGAAAAUCCGAGUGAGGGAGUGUGAUUUUCGUGCCGGACCGUACCCACAUCCGCAGCAGGUCUCCAAGGUGAACAGCCUCUAGUCGAUGGACCAAUGUAGGUAAGGGAAGUCGGCAAAACGGAUCCGUAACCUUGGGAUAAGGAUUGGCUCUGAGGACUGAGCCGGUCGGGCUGGGGACCUGAAGCAGGAACGGCACUGCACCGGGACUGGGCGGGGCUCGCCGUUGACGCGGCGCGGCCAAGCCCGGACCAGCGUCGGGACCUUCCUGUGGAAAGCCUCAGCUGCGCGGCGUCUGAGGGCUUCGUGCCCAAAGUGCUAUGCUUCGGCCGGCAAAAAACAGUCAACUCAGAACUGGCACGGACCGGGGGAAUCCGACUGUCUAAUUAAAACAAAGCAUUGCGAUGGCCGCUGGUCGGUGUUGACGCAAUGUGAUUUCUGCCCAGUGCUCUGAAUGUCAACGUGAAGAGAUUCAUCAAAGCGCGGGUAAACGGCGUAAGUAACUAUGACUCUCUUUCCACAAGCGUCCUGCCGACUGUGCGAGAGAGGUCCUGGACGGGCCGGCUGAGGCGGGAGUGGAGGACGUCCGAGGGUUCCUCUCAGCUUGGGCUGGCAUCAUGACUGGCCCACUCCCACCUGCACUUGUGGAGCCAGUGGCCAGGCCGGACGAGGAGAUCGACAUCUUUUCUCCCGU